rnacentral:rRNA from 1 species
AUUGAACGCUGGCGGCAGGCUUAACACAUGCAAGUCGAGCGAGCGGCGGACGGGUGAGUAAUGUCUGGGAAACUGCCUGAUGGAGGGGGAUAACUACUGGAAACGGUAGCUAAUACCGCAUACCAUCAGAUGUGCCCAGAGGGGAUUAGCUAGUAGGUGGGGUAAUGGCUCACCUAGGCGACGAGCCCUAGCUGGUCUGAGAGGAUGACCAGACACACGGGGACGGAGACACGGACCAGACUCCUACGGGAGGCAGCAGGGGGGAAUAUUGCACAAUGGGCGCAAGCCUGAUGCAGCCAUGCCGCGUGUAUGAAGAAGGCCUUCGGGUUGUAAAGCACUUUCAGCGAGGAGGCGGUACUCGCAGAAGAAGCACCGGCUAACUCCGUGCCAGCAGCCGCGGUAAUUC